CCUCAUUCAGGUUCUUGUUGAAGUCUAUGCAAAGGACGCUCAGCUUUUUCUUAAUAGCUUUGAUUUUCUCCUGUGUUUCCUCAGGGAGAUGGAGACCAUUUCUUUUGCCCAAUUUGAUCAGCCUCUCCAGGUACCUCUUUGCUUCAGGCUUCAGUGAGGCACUCUCUGCUUUCUCCUGGAGCCAGACAAUCCUCUGGUACACAUCCUGCCUCAUGCUCAUCUCCACAUCGAACUCUGAGAGCUUCUUGUCAGCCUCAGUGCUUGCUGCACGGAUGUCUUUGCAAGGAGAGACGUGCUGGGGGAAGUCCAGCAUGUUCCGACGGACUGUAUAUUCCACUUCCACAUCCGCCAGUGCCUUCAGGGUGUUCUCAUAGGACACCUCGCCCUGCUCCUGGGAGCCCACCCGGUCGUACACCAGCUUGGUCCUCUCGGUGAGCUCUGCUGCCAUGCGCUCGAUCUGCUCAGCGCUCAGAUCCCAGCGCAGCUGGUUGGCUGGCGGGCGGGGGGACUGACUGUCCACCACGUUGCCUGUGGGGGGAGCCAUGCCGGGAGGCCGCGGGGCCCCGCUGCUGCUGACGAGGCCGCGAGGAAACCGCGCCGGCCCCGCGCACCGAGCAUGUGCCUGAGCAGAGAGGCGGGCGGGCAGAGCGGCCGUGCUGAGGGAUUGUGGGAGCGGGGAGGACCGGGCCGCUCUCUACGUCUCUUCAGCUCAGCGCGGCGCAGGGAGAGCGGCCCGGUCGUCGUCCCCGCUUCGCCCGUGACCCUGAGCGCCAUCGCGCCGCCGGCAGCGGAGCCCCCGGCCCGGUCGGGCCGCACGCCCGUUCCCAUGGCGACACACCCCCGGCCGUCUCUAUGGUUAACGAGGAGGAGUUGCAGCCGCGCUUCCGGCCU
rnacentral:lncRNA from 1 species